AAUUUUCUUCCCGCAUGUUUUGCAAGUUGAAAUCCGUUUUUUGUUGAUACAGUGUAGUCUUUAUAUCCGAUUUUUUUCUUUCUUAACACUUUUUUAAUAGCGUCAUUUUUAGUAUCUGGGCUUGGGGACGGUAUCAAGUCAGGUCGAGUUAAAAGGCUAAAAUCCAAGUUAAGUGACGAGUCAUUGGUGUUAAAGUCGAGUCCACGCCUCUGUUUUUGUUGUUGAUUGAAACACUGGCUCUUCGUUUGCACUUUUGACCCCACAGCUUGUGGGCGGGCUUUAGUGGGAGGUGUGGAGGAUGCUUCUCCGUUGGUCAGUCAUUUUUUGAGUGUCAGUUUGGCUACAACCAAUAGUGUUCAGCCUUUCUUUCCGACACAAAGGAAGUCAUAGACACUUAAAGUACAAAGAAGGACUGUGUGAUGAUGGCGUCUCAGAGUGGCAGGUGAAAUAUUUGCAGUGAGCCUUGCACGAGGUGGACCGUCUCCACGAUUUAUGCUGGAGUGAUGUUACCACUAUCUGGUGACCGGGACCCUGAAGGACCUAACAAAGGAUCAAAGAUCCCUUUGACCUGUGACCCUACACUGAAGGAAUCCUCAACUGUCACCCUACACUGAAGGAAUCCUCAACUGUCACCCUACGCUGAAGGAAUCCUCAACUGUCACCCUACACUGAAGGAAUCCUCAACUGUCACCCUACGCUGAAGGAAUCCUCAACUGUCACCCUACACUGAAGGAAUCCUCAACUGUCACCCUACACUGAAGGAAUCCUCAACUGUCACCCUACACUGAAGGAAUCCUCAACUGUCACCCUACGCUGAAGGAAUCCUCAACUGUCACCCUACACUGAAGGAAUCGUCAACUGUCACCCUACGCUGAAGGAAUCCUCAACUGUCACCCUACGCUGAAGGAAUCCUCAACUGUCACCCUACGCUGAAGGAAUCCUCAACUGUCACCCUACACUGAAGGAAUCCUCAACUGUCACCCUACACUGAAGGAAUCGUCAACUGUCACCCUACACUGAAGGAAUCGUCAACUGUCACCCUACACUGAAGGAAUCGUCAACUGUCACCCUACACUGAAGGAAUCCUCAACUGUCACCCUACACUGAAGGAAUCCUCAACUGUCACCCUACACUGAAGGAAUGCUCAACUGUCACCCUACACUGAAGGAAUGCUCAACUGUCACCCUACACUGAAGGAAUGCUCAACUGUCACCCUACACUGAAGGAAUCCUCAACUGUCACCCUACGCUGAAGGAAUCCUCAACUGUCACCCUACGCUGAAGGAAUCCUCAACUGUCUCCCUACGCUGAAGGAAUCCUCAACUGUCACCCUACGCUGAAGGAAUCCUCAACUGUCACCCUACGCUGAAGGAAUCCUCAACUGUCACCCUACGCUGAAGGAAUCCUCAACUGUCACCCUACACUGAAGGAAUCCUCAACUGUCACCCUACAUUGAAGGAAUCCUCAACUGUCACCCUACGCUGAAGGAAUCCUCAACUGUCACCCUACGCUGAAGGAAUCCUCAACUGUCACCCUACACUGAAGGAAUCGUCAACUGUCACCCUACACUGAAGGAAUCGUCAACUGUCACCCUACACUGAAGGAAUCGUCAACUGUCACCCUACACUGAAGGAAUCGUCAACUGUCACCCUACACUGAAGGAAUCGUCAACUGUCACCCUACACUGAAGGAAUCGUCAACUGUCACCCUACACUGAAGGAAUCGUCAACUGUCACCCUACACUGAAGGACUCCUCAACUGUGGCUACACAGGCCCCAUCAACUUGGAUCACAAGGAGAGCAUAAUAAGAGCUAUUUUGCUGCAUUUAACCACAAAACGUACAGCGAUGCUUCAGCAGCUGCAUGAAGGCCUUGAAGUCUACAUCUUAAUUGAGGUCAUGCAGAAGAAACCGAAGGAAUGUCUCAAUCUCUUUGUGAUUGGCGAUGAUGACAUGGUUGAUGCACACUACAUAAUCUCAAACCUGGCCCCAGAGAUGAGUGAAUGUGGUUUUCCAAAACAAAAGUAGACAGAAAUCUUGGAUUUCUUUCAAGAUUUCCUCCAAGAACUUGAUGAUGGGAAAGUGAGCCUCUUUGUGGCUGAAGACAGUGGAGAGAAAGAAGACAGUGGAGAGAAAGAAGACAAUGGAGAACCACUUGCUGUUCCCAGUGUAAUGCAGUGGCUGACAGGGCAGGCACACACACAUGCUUGUCUCAGAGAGAGAAAAGUUAAGGAUAGUGGUCAUUUUGGACCACUCAUGUCUACAAUGCAUGUCUAACCACACUUUGUUACCCUGUUGUUAGUACAUACACCAAAACGUAACAUUUCCGACAGCCCUCAGAGAUUACGAUGCAUUUAAAUCAAACACUGAAACAACAAUCAAAUACGUUGCACGGUUUGAUAGAGUGUAGCUGAAAGACUCCUCAAUUUAACUGACUGAUAAUCCACAUACAGUACAUUAUGUUCCUGUGUAAAGAAGUCAAAUCUUUCUUGCUUUAUUUUGGGGUUAAUGCUUAAAUGUACACCCUUGACAACUGCGAUUUAGAAAAUGUUUUUUAUUAACCUCUUACUACUCAGAGCAUUCAUAGAAGGAUGGUAGACUGCAGCAAUAGCUCAGAGGUCUAAACACUGGAUGGAUGAAUGAAUGGACUAUUGGAAAUAGUCAGGGGGACUGAUAUAGUAUUUGGGCUUUUGUAAAGUUUUUGCAUUAUGUUUUAUACACUGGUCUUAGGCUAUACCUUCAAACACCAAAACCUUAGGUGGCUCCAUUGCUAGUAAAGAGUGUUACAAAAAACACAUUUUGUUGAUACAGUGUAUCAUCCUAGUCCAUGGGAAUUAUGUAAAUGAAAUGACAUACAAUUCACUAAUUUUCUGGUCCUUGCCAACAUACAGUGUUCCAGAUGUACUGCAACUACUUUAGUAUAUCAUCGGUUCUCUCCCCUUUAAUAUGUGAUUCUUUCUGUUUUUAUUCUUUAUUUUGUUUAACAAGUGCCUGAAGCUGUUCUAUAUACAGUAGACCUAUGGGGGCCAAAGACUCCAUUUUAGUAUAGUGUACACCAAGUGGUAUAGAAUACAAGUAUAUAAACUUUAUCCAAAUGCAAUGUAAUAGACCAAUUUAUCUCCGGGCUUGACGUCUAUCUUAUUGAGAGAUUCUUUAAGCUAGCAUUAUACACAAGUAAAGGUGCUCGGUCUGUCUUUAUGUUAUUAAUUUGUAGUACUGUAUCCUGUAACCACCAGAGUCACUGCUUAUUCAGUGGUCUCCAACUUGACCUCUGGAGCUCAGAAAUGAUGAAGAUAACACUGAGACAGUGCCACUCUGUUAGACAGGAAUUUGGUGCUGAAGUACAAUAAUACUUUACAAGUCCUUUUGAUUACCCAAGGUUCAUUUGUAUGCAGCAAGGGAUGGAAGGUUUUAUUAAAAUGUACAUUUAAGGGAUUUUUCAGUUGCUCAUUUUUAUAUUUUGACAUGACAAAGUUGUGUAUUUGUGGAUCUACUGUAUUGGUGUUUACAAAAUGUACUAACCAUCGUUCACUGAGCUCUGUCACUAGCAUUGUUAUGUUAUUGCCUGCUUUUGAUUUUCAUGUUAAGACACUGGAUGUCAUGUACUCUAACUGUAAAGGUGACAGCUCGAUAAAUUAUAUGGGGAGAGAAAGUCACCUCAGGAGCCUUUAUGACACUUAUGGAUUCUUGCACUCUUCUGUAACUGGAUAGUGUUUUAUAGAUCACUGCAUUAUUAGAACGUACUAUAGAUUCACCUCUGAACUUGGAACCCGUUUGCUGUAUGUCCAAUGGUAGUGCCGUGAACAUGUUACAAUUAUUAACGUGAUUAUUUUGACACUGUUAUACUACAUAAUGUUGAUACAUGGUAUUUAUCAGUUUUAUAUGUUCAAAUGUUGGGUUUGUUUUUAGAGAGAAGUGUCAAUUAACAAAGAUGCUUUGUGGAAAAUAAAUACCAUUGGUUU